rnacentral:rRNA from 1 species
GGGGAAUAUUGCGCAAUGGGGGAAACCCUGAUGCAGCGACGCCGCGUGGAGGAAGAAGGUCUUCGGAUUGUAAACUCCUGUUGUUGAGGAAGAUAAUGACGGUACUCAACAAGGAAGUGACGGCUAACUACGUGCCAGCAGCCGCGGUAAAACGUAGGUCACAAGCGUUGUCCGGAAUUACUGGGUGUAAAGGGAGCGCAGGCGGGAGAACAAGUUGGAAGUGAAAUCCAUGGGCUCAACCCAUGAACUGCUUUCAAAACUGUUUUUCUUGAGUAGUGCAGAGGUAGGCGGAAUUCCCGGUGUAGCGGUGGAAUGCGUAGAUAUCGGGAGGAACACCAGUGGCGAAGGCGGCCUACUGGGCACCAACUGACGCUGAGGCUCGAAAGUGUGGGUAGCAAACAGGAUUAGAUACCCUGGUAGUCCACACCGUAAACGAUGAUUACUAGGUGUUGGAGGAUUGACCCCUUCAGUGCCGCAGUUAACACAAUAAGUAAUCCACCUGGGGAGUACGACCGCAAGGUUGAAACUCAAAGGAAUUGACGGGGGCCCGCACAAGCAGUGGAGUAUGUGGUUUAAUUCGACGCAACGCGAAGAACCUUACCAAGUCUUGACAUCCCUUGACGAUGCUGGAAACAGUAUUUCUCUUCGGAGCAAGGAGACAGGUGGUGCAUGGUUGUCGUCAGCUCGUGUCGUGAGAUGUUGGGUUAAGUCCCGCAACGAGCGCAACCCUUAUGGUCAGUUACUACGCAAGAGGACUCUGGCCAGACUGCCGUUGACAAAACGGAGGAAGGUGGGGAUGACGUCAAAUCAUCAUGCCCUUUAUGACUUGGGCUACACACGUACUACAAUGGCGUUAAACAAAGAGAAGCAAGACCGCGAGGUGGAGCAAAACUCAGAAACAACGUCCCAGUUCGGACUGCAGGCUGCAACUCGCCUGCACGAAGUCGGAAUUGCUAGUAAUCGUGGAUCAGCAUGCCACGGUGAAUACGUUCCCG